rnacentral:rRNA from 1 species
CGCUGGCGGCGUGCCUAACACAUGCAAGUCGAACGAGGUCCAUCCUUCGGGAGAAGACCUAGUGGCGAACGGUGAGUAACACGUGAAGAACCUGCCCCGAAGACCGGGAUAACCCUCCGAAAGGAGAGCUAAUACCGGAUACCCCCACCGAACCGCAUGGUUGGUGAGGAAAUGGAUUCCGCUUCGGGAGGGCUUCGCGGCCUAUCAGCUAGUUGUGGGGUAACGGCCCACCAAGGCAUCGACGGGUAGCUGGUCUGAGAGGACGAUCAGCCACACUGGGACUGAGACACGGCCCAGACUCCUACGGGAGGCAGCAGUGGGGAAUCUUGCGCAAUGGGCGAAAGCCUGACGCAGCAACGCCGCGUGGGGAUGAAGGCUCUCGGGUUGUAAACCCCUUUCAGCAGGGACGAAUCAAGACGGUACCUGCAGAAGAAGCCCCGGCUAACUACGUG